GUCAGAUGUGGAGGAUGAGACGCUGAGUCCGUGGGGAAACCGCACAGCAGUGUCUGGAACAGAGCUCCCGUUCACACCCAGCUCCACAGAAAAGCCACAGGAGCUACAUGAGCUGGAGGAGCUGGAGGAGGGAGCAGGAGGAGAGCCAGAGGAACAGCCUACACACUUCACUCUAAUGAUUCAGGGUGCGAACAGACCCGCCAUUGAAGAAGAGGAGCUGGAGAUGGAGGAGAUGCCUAUGCUGCAGCAGAUAUCCCACAAUGCAUCAGUGC
rnacentral:lncRNA from 1 species